UGAAUGCGAGAUGCUACGGCGUCGAAGCAGUCUAUGUCAUACUUCCAAGAAAAGCUCGCACUGUCAUAAACAAAUAAUGCCUGUACCAUAACCGACACAGGUGGGUAGGUAGAGUAUACUAAGGGGCGCGAGAUAACUCUCUCUAAGGAACUCGGCAAAAUGACUCCGUAACUUCGGGAGAAGGAGUGCCUUAUUUAUAAGGUUGCAAUAACAAGAUCCAAGCAACUGUUUAUCAAAAACACAGGUCUCCGCUAAGUCGUAAGACGAUGUAUGGGGGCUGACGCCUGCCCAGUGCCAGAAGGUUAAAGAAGUUGGUUAGCAUUCGCGAAGCUGAUAACUGAAGCCCUGGUGAACGGCGGCCGUAACAAUAACGGUCCUAAGGUAGCGAAAUUCCUUGUCGGGUAAGUUCCGACCCGCACGAAAGGCGUAAUGAUUUGGAUACUGUCUCGGAGAGGGGCUCGGUGAAAUAGACUUGUCUGUGAAGAUGCGGACUACCUGCACCAGGACAGAAAGACCCUAUGAAGCUUUACUGUAACUUGAGAUUGAAAUUGGACUUUACUUGCGCAGUAUAGGUGGGAGGCGUUGAUAAUAUUCUUGCGGGAUUAUUUGAGCCAUCAGUGAGAUACCACUCUUGUAAUGUUAGAUUUCUAACUUUGUAUCAUUAUCUGUCAAAGACAGUUUCAGGCGGGCAGUUUGACUGGGGCGGUCGCCUCCUAAACGGUAACGGAGGCGCACAAAGGUUUCCUCUGAACGGGUAGAAAUCGUAUCUAGAGUGUAAAGGCAUAAGGAAGCUUGACUGUGAGACCUACAAGUCGAGCAGGGACGAAAGUCGGUCUUAGUGAUCUGACGGUGCUGAGUGGAAAGGCCGUCACUCAACGGAUAAAAGUUACUCUAAGGAUAACAGGCUGAUCUCCCCCAAGAGUUCACAUCGACGGGGAGGUUUGGCACCUCGAUGUCGGCUCAUCGCAUCCUGGGGCGGUAGUACGUCCCAAGGGUUGGGCUGUUCGCCCAUGAAAGCGGUACGCGAGCUGGGUUCAGAACGUCGUGAGACAGUUCGGUCCAUAUCCGGUGUAGGCGUUAGAAUAUUGAGAGGAGCCUUCUUUAGUACGAGAGGACCGAGAAGGACAUACCUCUGGUGUACCAGUUAUCGUGCCAACGGUAAACGCUGGGUAGCUAUGUAUGGAGUGGAUAACCGCUGAAAGCAUCUAAGUGGGAAGCCCACCUCAAGAUAAGUAUUCUCAUG
rnacentral:rRNA from 1 species